CAAAUGGAAAUUAUGAGGUAGCCUUAAAACUCAUUGACGAUAGGUACAACAACAUUCCAAAAAUUAUAAAUUUUCAUGUCAAUAGUAUCAUUGACAUGCCAGUUUUGACAAAAUGUACAGCUUCUGGGCUGCGUUCCAUAGUGUCAACUGUAAAUAUGCAUCUUGCAGCAUUAAAAAACUUGAAUGAAAAAGUUGAGUUCUGGGAUACUAUAUUGGUCAAUAUUUUGUCUAGGAAGAUUGAUUCCUACACUUAUCGUGGAUUUCAUCUUGAGCGUGAUAUGAAAGAGGUUCCUAACUUGUGUGAAUUGCUUACUUUCCUAGAAAAAAGAGCAAUUGCAUUGGAAGCCACAAUGACGGAGGAGACGAAGAAGCCAGUGAAAUCUGUUGUGAGUGCAGCAGCUGCCACUGGAGUCUCAUGCGUUCCAGUAUGUGUGCCGGCAGCUGACACCUGUUGGUCCAUAUUUGGUGAAGACGAGGUUCGGUCAUAUUGUAGGCGGGGCGCUGCCCUUCCCUGCUGGCAAGAAGUCUAUAAGUAACUAUUGUGUUACAUCUAAAGGUAAUCCUAUUGAUUUUAAUGUAGCUAGGGAUGAUUUGCAACCACCUUUCCCAUGUGUUAAACAAAGUGAGGUUUGCUUGCUGUCAAACGAUUGUCAACCUUCUGAAGACAUUGUUGAUAUAAUGUCCAAAUUUUGGGAUUGUGAAAAAGUACCUGACAUCAUUAGGGAAACCGGUACAGAGGUUGAUCAGGCGGAACAGAUUUUUCAGGAGUCAGUUAAAUUAGAAAAUGACAAGUUCACUGUAGCCAUGCCGGUGAAGGUUGAGUUGGACAAGUUGGACUUAGGUGAUUCUUUUAGUAGCGCCUUGCAACGACUUUUCAAUUUAGAAAAGCGGUUUUCACGCGAUCUAGAAUUAGGUAAAAAAUAUAAAAAAUUCAUACAGGAUUACAUUGACCAAGGUCAUGCUAAAUAUUUUGACAUGUCUAAUUAUGACUUAAGUGCAGGUAAUGUCAUGUUUCUGCCCCACCACCCUGUGAUCAGUUCCAGUAAAACAACACCAGUUAGGGCUGUUUUUGACGCUGGUGCUGUCACAAAAAAUGGUAUAUGUUUAAAUGACAUUUUGUUAAAUGGUCCGGUGGUUCAAAAGGAUCUCUUUGAAAUUCUGAUUUUGUUCAGAACUUUCAGGUAUGUAUUAUUGUGUGAUAUAAAGGCUAUGUAUCGCCAAAUUUUGAUUGAGGAUAAGUAUCGUUGUUUGCAAAAUAUCUUGUGGCGCGAUUCUCCUGACGAGUCAGUCAAAUGUGUACAGUUGCAGACAGUUACAUAUGGUUUAAAGAAUUCUGCGUUCUUAGCAUGUAGGUGUUUGUUAGAAUUAGCCCGAAGGUAUGAAAGUCAAUAUCCCUUGGCUUCGUUCGUGUUGAAGCACACGUGUUAUGUAGAUGAUAUUCAGUGUGGUUCUAAUGAUUUGAAUGAGCUUGCGCAGAUGAAAAAGGAGUUGAUAGGGCUAAUGAAGUUGGCUAGUCUGUCUCUACACAAAUGGUGUUCUAAUAACCAAGAAAUUUUAAGCGACAUACCGGUUGAAUUGCAUCAACUCGAUAGUAGGAGCUUUGAUAAAAAUAAUGAAUAUGUUAAAACUCUUGGAUUGACAUAUGACGUCAUUACUGAUACUCUCGACAUGAAGUGUCCUGUUAAAGAGGUUCAAGAAAAGUACACGAAGCGUCAGAUGCUUAGCUUCAUAAGUAAAUUUUUUGAUCCUUUAGGAUUAUGUGGCCCUGUGUUAGUGCAGGCAAAGAUAUUAAUGCAACAGGUUUGGUUUGAAUCGUUGAAAUGGGAUGAGGUUUUACCUCAAGGUCUUAACAAAAAAUGGGUUGACUUUGCCAAUAGCUUAGUUCAAAUGUCCAGCAUCUCGAUCGCUAGGAAUAUCAAUAUUCAAGGAGCGCAAUCCUUAGAAUUAGUGGGAUUUUCUGAUGCUUCUAAUGCUGCUCAUGGAUGUUGUUUGUACUUACGUGUCAUUGAUGCUGACAACAAGGUUUCGGUGAAUCUUUUGUGCUCGAAGACGCGCAUCAAUCCUAAGGCUAAAUCCUUGACCAUCCCAAAAUUGGAACUGAAUGCUGCCCUGUUACUUGCUAUUCUAGUUCGGAAGGUGUACAAUGCUCUGUCCUUAAAAUACUCAGUGAGCGCUCACCUUUAUAGUGACUCCAUGAUUUUACUAGCUUGGUUAAAAACAUUACCAGUAAAACUUAACGUGUAUGUAGGUAACAGAGUUGAUAAGAUUAAUAAGCUAUCCUCCGACUUUGAAUGGCAUUAUGUAAAUACGCAUGAUAAUGCCGCAGAUAUAUUAUCUCGUGGUGUAGAGCCCCAAUUAUUGGAAAAAUGUGACAUUUGGUGGCAUGGGCCAAAGUUUUUGUCUGACCCUACUUACCAUCAUAAACCUGUAGAACAUGACAUUUUAAAAUCUGAUGUACCAGAGCUAAAACCUACAACUGAAACCUGUCAUACUUGUGUAGAUGUAAGUUCUAGCUCGAUGGAUGCUUUAAUACAUAAAUAUUCAAAUAUAAACAAAUUGACAAGGAUUGUAGGUUAUCUCCUUAGAUUUGUAUUUAACUGCAAAAAUGAAAAUAUUAACAAACGUCAGGGAUAUUUAUCUCCCCAAGAAUUAGACUCUGCGUUGCGCAUGAUAAUUAAAUGUGAGCAAAGAAAGUUCUUUUGUAAUGAUAUUGAAGACUUAAAUAAUAAGUUGCCAUUAAAGUCUGGCUUAAACAGUUUGCAUCCUUUUCUUGAUUCUGAGGGAUUGUUACGUGUAGGUGGUAGAUUGCAAAAUGCAGGAUUUUCCUAUGACCAAAAGCACCCGAUUAUAUUGCCCAAAGGUUCUCAUGUCACAAAAAUAAUAAUUCAUAAUGAACACUUGAGGUUAAAACAUGCUGGUGCUACUUUGUUAUUGAGUACCUUAAAUGAAAAAUAUUGGAUUUUGAAUGCCAACAGAGAACUAAAGUCCGUUUUGUAUAAAUGUAUAAAAUGUUUUCGACUUAAGGCAAAAAAUGCUACUCAAUUAAUGGGUUCUCUACCACUUGAUCGUGUAAAUAUGACUCGUCCAUUUCAAAUAGUGGGCACGGACUAUGCCGGUCCUUUUUAUGUAAAGCAGACUAGAAUUAGGAAACCUG